UGAGGAUAGGUCUGAUGGAAGAGGUGGUGGUAGAUGUUGAGGAUAGGUCUGAUGGAAGAGGUGGUGGUAGAUGUUGAGGAUAGGUCUGAUGGAAGAGGUGGUGGUAGAUGUUGAGGAUAGGUCUGAUGGAAGGGGAGGUGUUAGAGGUUGAGGAUAGGUCUGAUGGAAGAGGAGGUGGUUAGAAGUUGAGGAUAGGUCUGAUGGAAGAGGAGGUAGAAAGUGCACUUCUCUGCCAGCCAGGUCAACCUCUAAAAAGAAAGACCUUUACCGGUUAAAUACAUCCAAAAAGACACAGGUAUUUUCUGGUCUCUUUAAUUUAGAUAGAACAGUCUGACGGUGGAGUCAUACAGGUAAGAAUAUAAAUUCAUCCCAUUCUGAAAGCACUUCAUACACAAUGUUCUUUUUUGUUACAGGCUCGACUGAAAUAGAGAUCUUGGUCUCAGCAUAACCAUUAUUAUACAUGUCAUUUACUGGUAGCUGGCAGUCUCAGACUGAAUUGUAGGCCUAAACUACUUUAAAUACACCCUUCUCUGUCUCUUUCCUCUUGCAGCAUAUGAGACAUCUGUAUGCUGUAGCGGUGGAGGUCCAAGGAGCCUAGAAAUAACUAAGUCAGAAAAAGACCCGAGGGGGGAUAGGAAGUGUGUGCAUCUCAAGAGGCUGGGUCGUAGCAGGUGCUUCCUCUGACAAACACACACGACAGACCGCUCCUUAUACUGACAUCUUCCUAGUCCAGUUAACCUUGUCACUCUUGCUCUUUCUCUCACACACAAGCGCUCUAAGGCUGUGCCCUUGCCCAGAACAAAAGAAAAAAAGAAAACGGCACCCUGCAAUAACUCUGCGGACUCCAAGCAAAUAGAAACUGAAGAAUGGAAGGCUCCAGAAUGUCUCUCCAUCUUCUCUUCUUCCUUCUGAUUGGACAAGCUUCACACACCAGCAUUACUCAGCCUCAGACCACUAAUGCCAUAUAUCCAACUGACAUAACCUCAAUUACCCAAGAGGAAAAUGACACCUCCAGCUCUCCCACAAAGGCCACCACGGGCUGCCUCAUCAAGCCCCAGUUGGGCUUCAUAGUGGUGACCUGCGCCGGGGGCCUGGUCCUGUUUCUGCUCGUCUCUACUGUGGUCCUGGCCUCCCAGGUGUGCAGUCUUAGGCGCCAAGCCCGUGCCCCUCGCCCCGCCCGCAGUAACGUGGACCUGGUGAGUGGCGCGGGCUACUGGGACACAGAGCACUCUGAGGGGGGCAUAGUGGGGCCCUGUGAUACCAGUGUCAUGUUGGAGGAGGUCCGUUUGGAUGGAGAAGAGGAUGAAGAGCAGGGGGAAGAAGAGGAGGAGGAAAGGGAGGAGGAGCAGGCAGAAGGGGUCAGAUGCCAAACAGGGGAUGCGAGAACAACUGGCGAAAUAGCCAUGCAGAUGCAGAGUUCCAGCUCCAGGGAUUUGUGUCUGGAAAUCCCCCAGGAUCUAGAGAACAUGCCCCUAGUGGUGUGAGUAGAGCAUUGCAUGCACUCCCUCUCCAGCCUCAGAGAGCCAUGGCCUGGCUCAGAGCUGAACUUCACUCAGGCAUAGAUAUCAACAGGCCAGAUCAGCUCCAGUCUUGUGCCUCAAGUCAAAACAAAGAGUAUUUGUUAUUUUUUUAAUAAGUACUCGAGCUAUAUGUAAUCAAUUUUAGGAGCUUUUACAUAUUUGCUUUGUAAACUGCAUUAAUCUGAUUUGGAAUGAUUUUGUCUCAAAUUUAUUUCUAUAGAGAACAUUUGAAUAGGCUGUUGGGAGCAGCAAGACAUUAAUUUGAAAUAAUGUGCUACGAACAGCACACUACUGCCAACUGCCCAAGUUAAUUAAGCUUACAGCUUACUACGAAGGUUCAGGAUCUUUGUACGGGGGGGGGGGGUCACUUAUAUUUUACAUUUGAGUCAUUUAGCAGACGCUCUUAUCCAGAGUGACUUACAGGAGCAACUAGGGUAAAUUACCUUGCUCAAGGGCAUAUUGACAAAUUAAAAACAGUGACCUUUCGGUUACUGGCCCAAAGCUCUUAACUGCCAAAUUCAAUCAUAUUAGCAGUACACUAUGCCAACUUCCCUUAAUGGCAGAGGUGUAACAAAGUGUAACAAAAAGGUAUUAAGCUUACGUAGAAAGUAUAUUUUGUUGAAGAUUGAAAUGAUAGAAACUCAACUCCAAUAUGUAAUAGAAUGGAAGCCCCCCCCCCAUCUCUAUUGACACUGUAGGCUAAAAGAUUCCUUCUCAGCAAACAAGCACUCAAACAUUGUCUACCAUAUAUAUAACUGAAUGUGGUGGCUUCUCCCCAAGACAUUAAAUGUCAAACAUUGUAUAAUAUAUGUUGUCCAAUCUAAACUGUCCUAUCUACCUGUAUUAAAAAAAUAUAAUAAUAAAACACACUCAAAUAUGCCAACAUGCUUGCUGGUCAGAUGUGAGUUCAGUUAAAAUGAUUACUUUCCACCAACUUGAUGUGAACUUCCUUUCCUUUAUCUGAAGUGAUUCCAUGCACAAAUACUAUACCAAGGGUAAACUUUGAACAUCUUGUUGCCAUCGGUGGCUGGGCACAGAGAUAGCAUUGGGCCUGCCAAGCCUACUUGUUACAUUAAUAAGUCUUCCCCUCAACCUUCACGUGUCAGUCGAGCAGUCACAGAACACCUAACUCAUUUGUUUCCACUCCUCUCUACUAAGGCUAACUUCUUUUCUCUUUUCUGUAAAAAUACAAUAUUUGUUUAAAUGCCACAACCCAAAUAAAUGGAGGUUUUGUG
ensembl:lncRNA